UUGUCUACUACCUACAGAUUUGGACAAAGUGAUAUUUAUGUGUGGGAGCUGAGCCAACAAGGUGUAGUGCUUGUAUGCCACGUUUUUGAACCUUUAGUGUGCUGGCACUCUAGGAAUCCUCCUUCAUCAAGCGUGGAUGAGCUCCACUGCACCUGCCCCUAUAUUCAUUGCCUUGGGCUGUACUCAGUUUAGCUUCCCUCCCCUGCCCUCAUGCUCUAGCCAAAGUUGCAGCUGGUACGUGGUAGUUCAUGUAUCCAUGCUGGUAGUAGCUCUUCUCCUCAGCCACCAGUGCAGUUUACCCUUGUUCAUCACAGCCAACUCCUGUGUUUGGUGACCACAAUAGCAAUCCUUUAACCUCACCAUGGCCAGGGUUCGUGGAGAUUGUCUCGGCAUUGUUGUGCCCGUUCCUUGUUCCACACAUAACACCUAGAAGAAGUGGUGUUUGAAGGAGGAGUCUACUCCAGUGGCUACUGAUCAAUUGGAGGAGCCAUCUAACCGGGUAUUGGGUGGAAAGGUCUUUAGCCUCUUCUCUGCAACAAAGGUGAUGAGGAGUACUCUAAGUGUUCCUGUGGCUGGAGGGCAUUUCCAGUUCUGGAGGAAGAUUAGCUAGGCUUGUGUAUAAGCGUCGGAGGGUUCCUACCUUCUUGCUAUUGUAAUAAUUUAUGCACUUUGAGUAUAUCAGGACUUGUAAUAAAUGUAACUCUUCUUAUGUAAUAAACUUCAGUUUUAGAAAUGAAAAGAAUGUUUUAUAAAGUA